GACGAACGCUGGCGGCGUGCUUAACACAUGCAAGUCGAGCGGUAAGGCCCUUUCGGGGGUACGACGAGCGGCGAACGGGUGAGUAACACGUGGGUGACCUGCCUUUAGCUCUGGGAUAAGCCUGGGAAACUGGGUCGUAAUACCGGAUAUGACCCUAUGGCGCAUGUUGUGGGGUGGAAAGCCUUGUGCGGCUAGGGAUGGGCCCGCGGCC
rnacentral:rRNA from 1 species